CCUACGGGUGGCAGCAGUGAGGAAUAUUGGUCAAUGGGCGCAAGCCUGAACCAGCCAAGUCGCGUGAGGGAUGACGGUCCUAUGGAUUGUAAACCUCUUUUGUCGGGGAGCAAGGCCCGCCACGUGUGGCGGGAAGGAGAGUACCCGAAGAAAAAGCAUCGGCUAACUCCGUGCCAGCAGCCGCGGUAAUACGUAGGGGGCAAGCGUUAUCCGGAUUUACUGGGUGUAAAGGGAGCGUAGACGGCAGCGCAAGUCUGGAGUGAAAUCCCAUGGCUUAACCAUGGAACUGCUUUGGAAACUAUGCAGCUGGAGUGCAGGAGAGGUAAGCGGAAUUCCUAGUGUAGCGGUGAAAUGCGUAGAUAUUAGGAGGAACACCAGUGGCGAAGGCGGCUUACUGGACUGUAACAGACGUUGAGGCUCGAAAGCGUGGGGAGCAAACAGGAUUAGAUACCCGGGUAGUC
rnacentral:rRNA from 1 species